UACAGAGGUCCCAAGCGUUGUUCGGAUUCACUGGGCGUAAAGGGUGCGUAGGCGGUCGGGUAAGUCUGAUGUGAAAUCUCACAGCUUAACUAUGAAACUGCAUUGGAUACUAUCCGGCUCGAGGAAUGGAGGGGAGACUGGAAUACUUGGUGUAGCAGUGAAAUGCGUAGAUAUCAAGUGGAACACCAGUGGCGAAGGCGAGUCUCUGGACAUUUCCUGACGCUGAGGCACGAAAGCCAGGGGAGCAAACGGG
rnacentral:rRNA from 1 species